UACAGAGGGUGCGAGCGUUAAUCGGAAUUACUGGGCGUAAAGCGUGCGUAGACGGCUAUCUAAGUCGGGUGUGAAAGCCCCGGGCUCAACCUGGGAAUUGCAUUCGAGACUGAGUAGCUAGGGUGCGGUAGAGGGAAGCGGAAUUUCCGGUGUAGCGGUGAAAUGCGUAGAUAUCGGAAGGAACAUCAGUGGCGAAAGCGGCUUCCUGGACCAGCACCGACGUUCAGGCACGAAAGCGUGGGGAGCAAACAGG
rnacentral:rRNA from 1 species